GAUGAACGCUGGCGGCGUGCCUAAUACAUGCAAGUCGAGCGAACAGACGAGGAGCUUGCUCCUCUGACGUUAGCGGCGGACGGGUGAGUAACACGUGGAUAACCUACCUAUAAGACUGGUAUAACUUCGGGAAACCGGAGCUAAUACCGGAUAAUAUAUUGAACCGCAUGGUUCAAUAGUGAAAGACGGUUUUGCUGUCACUUAUAGAUGGAUCCGCGCCGCAUUAGCUAGUUGGUAAGGUAACGGCUUAUCAAGGCAACGAUGCGUAGCCGACCUGAGAGGGUGAUAGGCCACACUGGAACUGAGACACGGUCCAGACUACUACGGGAGGCAGCAGUAGGGAAUCUUCCGCAAUGGGCGAAAGCCUGACGGAGCAACGCCGCGUGAGUGAUGAAGGUCUUCGGAUCGUAAAACUCUGUUAUUAGGGAAGAACAAAUGUGUAAGUAACUAUGCACGUCUUGACGGUACCUAAUCAGAAAGCAACGGCUAACUACGUG
rnacentral:rRNA from 1 species